GGGGCUUAACUCCUCCCAAGAACUUCAGGACCUGAUUCACUGUGCAGAAUCAGCUGUGGACACUGAAUCAGAUGAAGAUGGAUGGGGUAGUGGUCUUGCUUUGAUUCUUCUUUUACUUCACCUAAUUCCUCCAUCAGCACAAGGUCGCAAGAGACCUGGGAAAAUGUCGGCAUCUCAAGCUGAGAAAUACAUUGUGAUCUUCAAAAAGGCAGGGACUAACAUACAGGAACAUCUUGAUUCAAUUAAGGAGAGCACCCAGCCCUACCUGCUUGCUGUCGGGACAAAGAAAAGCAGCAUUCAUGGAUACUACAUCAUCCUCGACAAAAAAGCCAUACCAUGCAAGUCAGUG